rnacentral:rRNA from 1 species
GAUCUGGGCACUGUCUCAACGAGAGACUCGGUGAAAUUAUAGUACCUGUGAAGAUGCAGGUUACCCGCGACAGGACGGAAAGACCCCGUGGAGCUUUACUGCAACCUGAUAUGGAAUGUUUGUACCGCUUGUACAGGAUAGGUAGGAGCCGAAGAGACGUGUGCGCUAGCAUACGAGGAGGCAAUGGUGGGAUACUACCCUGGCUGUAUGACCAUUCUAACCCGCCACGCUUAGCGCGUGGGGAGACAGUGUCAGGUGGGCAGUUUGACUGGGGCGGUCGCCUCCUAAAGAGUAACGGAGGCGCCCAAAGGUUCCCUCAGAAUGGAUGGAAAUCAUUCGCAGAGUGUAAAGGCACAAGGGAGCUUGACUGCGAGACUGACAAGUCGAGCAGGGACGAAAGUCGGGCUUAGUGAUCCGGUGGUUCCGCAUGGAAGGGCCAUCGCUCAACGGAUAAAAGCUACCCCGGGGAUAACAGGCUUAUCUCCCCCAAGAGUCCACAUCGACGGGGAGGUUUGGCACCUCGAUGUCGGCUCGUCGCAUCCUGGGGCUGUAGUCGGUCCCAAGGGUUGGGCUGUUCGCCCAUUAAAGCGGCACGCGAGCUGGGUUCAGAACGUCGUGAGACAGUUCGGUCCCUAUCCGUCGCGGGCGCAGGAAAUUUGAGAGGAGCUGUCCUUAGUACGAGAGGACCGGGAUGGACACACCGCUGGUGUACCAGUUGUUCCGCCAGGAGCAUCGCUGGGUAGCUAUGUGUGGCAGGGAUAAACGCUGAAAGCAUCUAAGCGUGAAGCCCCCCUCAAGAUGAGAUUUCCCAUUUCUUCGGAAAGUAAGAUCCCUGAAAGAUGAUCAGGUAGAUAGGUUUGGAGUGGAAGUGUAGCGAUACAUGGAGCGGACAAAUACUAAUCGAUCGAGGACUUAACCAAAA